rnacentral:lncRNA from 1 species
AUGAGAGGACCAGGUUUUAAUCUAGGAAACUGGAAUGGGAAAAAAAUGCAAUUUUUUUUGCUGCUUCGCCGGCCUCGAGCCGUUGUAAUGCCUUCAACUUGUCCGCGAUCGGCAGCACCAAUUUCUUUUCCUUCCCCCGGCCUACUUACACCUUUUCCGCCUUUCGUUUGCCCAUUUUUCCGAACACGCACAUGCACAAUGAAACGAGAAAGUAUCAAACGAAAAAUAACACAACAGAAAAAUACAGUAAACAAACGAAAACUAACGAAACAAAAUUACGAACUAUAAGUAACUGAACAAAACAAAAACCGCCCGGCUAAAGGACACGUUAGUACUGAUGAUUCACACAAACAUGCGUUCUCUCGUUAAAUAACUGAACGAAGUCUAAUUUAUCGACUUAUGCAAAUCGUUCUUUACUCGCUCGUGCUCAGCCUGCAACAAAAAAAAUGAUAAAGGAAAUCAAGGAUACAAUAGAUGAACAACAAUUGUGUCAAUAUGUCCACUCAUUUAAGUUGGACACUCAUUGAAGUCGUUUAUGGCUUUACUUAUGAAGUUAUAUUAAAUGGAAGAGGGGUAUCGAAAAGGCUUUUUCUUGGGGGCCCUCCCUGGUUGAAUUUCCUCAAGCCUACGGAUUUUUGCUCCUUGAAGGUCUAAAUUGUACUGAAUGCAUCAUGAUUUGGUCAAUUUCAUCACGUACGAAUUUUUUUUCUUCGCGUAAUAUUCCUUGCAAAUUCUGAAAAUAUUCUGCUGUUAGCGGAGAAGAGAUAGCAACAGAAGACAAAGGGAGCCUAGAAAUUGGAGUAUGAAGUGAACUAAAGAAGCAUACUGACCAUUAACUUUCCUUUCCUGUUUGAUGCUUCUUCAAGCUGGGACUCUGCGAACAAAUGAGAGGACCAGGUUUUAAUCUAGGAAACUGGAAUGGAAAAAAAAUCUAAAAUGCGGUUCCAAUAGUAAAUAAGAAUUCACUAAGCAAAGAUGUAAACCAUUAAAUAUAUUUAAUAUAAGUAUUAAAUAGGAUUUCACUAAACAAUGAUGUAAACCAUUACACGCUCCUGAAGUAAACAAAAACAAAACCUAGCAAACUGAUAAAUCUGAAAAGAACACGAUGACAACAGAUUUGAGCCGCCAUGACAGUCACAUGACGAAAGUUGGUCAUCGGGCAAUUCACGAAAAUCAGUCAACGUAUUUCUCUGAUGCCUCCAGAGAACGCAUCUCUUCACGAAGACCGUAUUGGAGAGUAUACCUAUAUGCUUAUAUAAAACAGUUUCGAAAACCGAAUGUCAUCUUGGACCAGCGUUGCUCAUAUUUAGCGUAACUUGAUAGAGACAGUAUCGCCAUAAAGCGGCCGCUUUCGAUUGGCUCCUCCAUCUUGAGCUUCCUCGAGCACUUCAGGACCGAAAAAUGGUGGACGUCGCAAGGAGAUAUAGGUACAAAAUGACUUAAAAUCGCUUUUGAUUGCAUACUGCACCGAAAACUUUAACUCAAAUUUAUCAUUACAACGUGUUUACAUUUUACGGCCAACCGUGGACCAUUUGCAACAAAACUCAUUGGA